CAGCCGCCGCGGUAAUACGUAGGUGGCAAGCGUUAUCCGGAAUUAUUGGGCGUAAAGCGCGCGUAGGCGGUUUUUUAAGUCUGAUGUGGAAGCCCACGGCUCAACCGUGGAGGGUCAUUGGAAACUGGAAAACUUGAGUGCAGAAGAGGAAAGUGGAAUUCCAUGUGUAGCGGUGAAAUGCGCAGAGAUAUGGAGGAACACCAGUGGCGAAGGCGACUUUCUGGUCUGUAACUGACGCUGAUGUGCGAAAGCGUGGGGAUCAAACAGGAUUAGAUACCCGCGUAGUCCCUGUCUCUUAUAC
rnacentral:rRNA from 1 species